rnacentral:rRNA from 1 species
UAGCGUAUAUUAAAGUUGUUGCAGUUAAAAAGCCCGUAGUUGAACUUCAGGCCUGGUGGGGUGGUCCGCUUAACGGCGUGUACUGCUCUGCUGGGUCUUACCUCUUGGUGAGCCGGCGUGGCCUUCACUGGUUGCGUCGGGGAACCAGGACUUUUACCUUGAGAAAAUUAGAGUGUUCAAAGCAGGCCUAUGCCUGAAUACAUUAGCAUGGAAUAAUAAAAUAGGACGUGCGGUUCUAUUUUGUUGGUUUCUAGAGUCGCCGUAAUGAUUAAUAGGGAUAGUUGGGGGCAUUGGUAUUGAGUCGCUAGAGGUGAAAUUCUUGGAUUGACUCAAGACCGACUACUGCGAAAGCAUUUGCCAAGGAUGUUUUCAUUAAUCAAGGACGAAGGUUAGGGGAUCGAAAACGAUCAGAUACCGUUGUAGUCUUAACAGUAAACUAUGCCGACUAGGGAUCGGGCGACCUCAAAUUUGAUGUGUCGCUCGGCACCUUACGAGAAAUCAAAGUUUUUGGGUUCUGGGGGGAGUAUGGUCGCAAGGCUGAAACUUAAA